CGCCUAGUAGUGUUAAAGAAACACCUGGUUGGUGGUGCUGUUCUUAAAUCAGUCAGGGGCGGAGCAGGUGGCAGUCCUUUGUCCAUCCUAGCUUGAUGUCUGUCUGUCUUGGUGGCCAAAGCUGUUUUAUGCCUAGGACUCAUGA
rfam:Mus musculus chromosome 14, GRC primary reference assembly.